rnacentral:lncRNA from 1 species
UGCGGAUCUCGGCGUUUUGAAUUUAAUUAAGUUUUGGUUCUUCGGGAGAUUUUUCUUUAUACUCGGCCUUUCGACAUUAAUAAAUUAUUUGCUCCGUCUUCGCCCGUGGACGCAGGCCGGUGGCCGAACCACGUAAAUAUCGAUGUGUUCUUUCCUUUUAUCUUUUCUUUUCCUGCUUUAAGGGCAUGUUUGGUUACCCGUAAGUGAAACAAUAAAAGUGGUAUUUUGGCGAAGUGAAAUUAUUUCGGUUAUUUGGAUUAUAAAAGUAAACAUUUAAAUGACUUUUGAAAAGUGAACCGAUGAGGAUUAUAACUAAAAUCUAUUUUUUUGACUUUGCCAAAAAAAUUUUGAAGUCGUUGAAAGUGGGCUGCCUACUCCACGCAACUUACGAACCGCAUCAAAAAACCUUCUUCUAUACCAUCUACAAAAAAUAAAAAAAAUCACUGUAUCUUAACAAAAAAAUACCAACACAUCUUAAAAAAA